ACGCUCGACACCUACGGGGGGCAGCAGUGGGGAAUAUUGCACAAUGGGGGAAACCCUGAUGCAGCGACGCCGCGUGGAGGAAGAAGGUCUUCGGAUUGUAAACUCCUGUUGUUGGGGAAAAAGAGGAUGGUACCCAACAAGGAAGUGACGGCUAACUACGUGCCAGCAGCCGUGGUAAUCUGAGCGGGCUGGCAAGGC
rnacentral:rRNA from 1 species